rnacentral:rRNA from 1 species
UUUCGCAAUGCCCGAAAGGGUGACGAAGCGACGCCGCGUGCGGGAAGAAGGCCUUCGGGUUGUAAACCGCUGUCGGGAGUUAAGAAAUGUAAGGAUGUUAAUAGCAUCUUUGCUUGACUAAGGCUCCGGAGGAAGCCACGGCUAACUCUGUGCCAGCAGCCGCGGUAAUACAGAGGUGGCAAGCGUUGUUCGGUAUUAUUGGGCGUAAAGAGCACGUAGGUGGUUUUGUAAGUCAGAUGUGAAAGCCUUCUGUUCAAAGGAAGAACGGCAUCUGAAACUGCAAAUCUUGAGUGUAGGAGGGGAGAGUGGAACUUCUGGUGGAGCGGUGAAAUGCGUAGAUAUCAGAAGGAACGCCGGCGGCGAAAGCGGCUCUCUGGCCCAUAACUGACGCUGAGUGUGCGAAAGCUAGGGGAGCAAACGGGAUUAGAUACCCCGGUAGUCCUAGCCGUAAACGAUGGGCACUAAGUAGAGGGGUUUUA